GGAGACGUGGCUGAGUGGCCGAAAGCAGCCGCCUGCUAAGCGGUUAGGGGCUGAAAGGUCCCUCCCGAGUUCGAAUCUCGGCGUCUCCGCCA
rnacentral:tRNA from 1 species